UGGGUUCGGCGUGUGUUUGAAAGGUUACGCCCCUGACUACGCGUGGGUUUUCCGGUUCUGACUGAGAGUCACAGCCUCAGAGGCAACGUAAACAAGCGCUAUAUUUCUCUAUAAACGAUGGUGUCUGUACUGCCUUACCACUUCAAGCUCGAUCCAGAGAGUUCAGACGGCCGUUACGAUAUAAACGAUCUCCGUCAAUGAACGCGAUUGGAUUUAACUUUUUUAGGUGUCCUUAGCUCUGCCAGAAUGCUAAACGAAGACGAAAAUGUGUUGCAAAGACAUCCAAAAGGUUUUAAGGAGAAUGCAACAUGUUCCAGGGCCUCUUACCUGCGUGAUUCAUCAUCCAGGUUUUGCACAAAUUGUCUAAAUCCCUACACACAGAACAUUUAUUGUACCGACUAUAAGCCUUUGAGGUGCAGGACUAGACUAUCUAUUCAGAUAAAUGGCAUAUCAAAGCUUUGUCAGCUGGUGCUAUUUAAGACGACACUAUAAGGUUAUCAUCCUGUCGUGUGUUGUUCUCCAGAUACGCUUGGAGCUUCCUGAUCAGAUCGGUCACAAUUUUG